rnacentral:lncRNA from 1 species
ACUCGUCAAAAUUCUGAAGAUGGUGGACUUGAGGAGUUAUGGAACAUGCUUGAUCCUGAAAAGAGAGACCUGCAUGUGGAUCUGGAAACUUUUCAUACCAUCAUGAAAGAAUGGAUGGCUUGCUGUAGAAACAAAUGGUAAUCAUAGUCCGAGCAGGAUGUGUAUUCAGGUUCUGUUUUAACAACUGAUUACAAUUAAUGCUAAUCUGUUUUUUUUGUGUGUGUGUGUUGAUGGAAAUACUAUAAUCCGGUGCCCCUCACCCUUUAGCAUGCACUGGAAUCAUCUAAACUGUUUAUUAUACCUGAUUAUUGCCCCCUAACGGUGAUUCAGCAAGUCUGGGGAGAAGCCUGAUAAUUUGUAUUUCUAACAUGUUUUCAAGUGAUAAUGAUGCUGAUGAGUGUGCACAUGGGGAUGAUGAGCACACUUUGAGAAUGUAUUAUAUGAAUUAUAUUAAUUCUAAUAGCAUUCAUUUACUACGAUUAGGGCAGCACAUAUUAUUAUGUUCUCACAAAGAAUUGAGCUGACAUAGAAGUCAAGCAAAUUAUUGAUAAUGACCAGCAAAUCUCCAAAUGCAUUUAAACUCAGAAUAAAUGCCCUGUAGAGGUCAGUGGGGAUAAUUAGGAAGUGAAUAUAAUUUGGAAGCCUAGGAUACAGGGAAGCUAAAGGGAAAAGGGGGAAAAAAAAAAGUAGUGGGAUUGAAAAACAAAAAGGAUGAAUAGCACCCAUGAUAACAGCGCCCCUAGUGGAACCUGGAGAAGUGUUACGUUCUUUCAUAGGAAGCUUGAUUUCUGUGGCUUUUAAUCAGCCACCAAUCUCUAGCUAUCAGCUCAUAUACAGUAGGAAUUUGCUUAAAGAACCGUUCAAGCCCAAUAUCUGACAAAACUUUUUAAUGUAGCUUAGGAAAAGAUGAUUGAAAUGUUGUUUGCCAAAAAUGAGUCAAUCAUGAAAGCAAGAUACAUCUAUAAAAAUAUCUAGUUUUACUUGUAAUCAAAGAAAUGCAAAUAAAGACAAUAUACCAGUUUUCCUCAUCAGUGUGCCAAAGUGUUAAAAAAAAUAACCCUAUCCCAUGUUGUCAAGGCAGGUGGAGAAAUAAGCACUGUCUAGUACCUUGUUGGUAGUGGUGCAAGUUGGUACAGUUUUUUCAAGAGCUAUUUAAGAAUAUGUACCAAACCCUUAAAAAUACGUGAUGGGUUUGGGCUAGUCAUACAACUUAAAGAAAAAUAACCAACCAUAUACUGCGAUAGGUGUGUUUAUGAUAACGAUAAAUACAAGCAACUUAAAAACUUUUAAAUAGAGGGUCAGACUAAUAAAUAAUUCCAUACACUAGAAUUUUAGUCACUCAAAAUUAUAAUUAGAUACUUAACAAGAAUUAUAUUCACAUACAUUCAUUUCCAAUAAUAGACCAUAAAUACAUAUAUGUAGUAUAAACCCAUAUUUAUCAAGAAAAAAAUAUGCAUAGGGACGCCUGGGUGGUUUAGUUGGUUAAGGGUCUGACUCUUGAUUUCAGCUCAGGUCAUGGUUGCAUGGUUGGUGGGUUUGAGCCCCACAUCAAGCUCUGCACAGACAGCGCGGAGCCUGCUUGGCUCUCUCUGCCCCUUUCCCACUUGCUCACUAUCUCUCAAAUAAACAUUUAGAAAAAAGAAAGAAAAAGAAAAAAUAUGCAUAAAAAAUGUUGGGAAAGAUAUAUUCCAAAAUGAUUAUCUUUCCAUGAUGGUUUCAACUUUUUGUUCUCAUGCAUUUUCUCAUUUUCCUAAAAUAUUUAAGUUUAUAAUAAAAAUAUUAACCCAUUAUAAAAUGGUGUGAAGGCAAAAGAAAGAAACCCUAAUUUUUAGGACAGAAGUAAAGAAAAAAAUAUGGAAGAUAUAAACACAAAAUAUAAGAAAAGAAACUCAAAGGGCGAUGAGUGUGUAGCUAGAAAUAGUAACAUGGUGCAUGUAUGAUUCUGAUAGAUAUCUCACAUUGAAACACAAUGAGAUGUAAGUACAAAUAUAGAGACUUUUGUGGCUGUUCCAGAGAGGUAUUCUAAGGAUAUGGCACUUAGAUUAAGUAAAACUUAAAUCAUAGUAUAGAGACUCUUAAAAAGGAAAUGGUUGAAAUUUUAAUAUGUUUAUUUUGAGGGUUAGAACUAGAGUUUGGGUACUUGACAGCAGUCUAUAGAGCGCUUCCCCCAACUUUCAGGAGUAAAUGCUCAAAGUACAAUUUGUUUAGGUUCUACCUGGUUUUCUAAGAGAAAAGAAAAAUGAUAGCCUCAUAAAUAUCUCCUAAGUAUUAGUUGUUUAUGCCUUUUCCUUCCCAACUGUUUAAUCCCACAGUAUUCCCAUCUCUGUAAGUGUCCACUUACUACUCCAAACUAUAUUGACUUCCUAACCCAUUGAGACCUCACAUCCCUAGUCAUAGCUGCCGCACAUCAUCACCUGCCUACUUCUGCAUGCUCAUUUUCUUUUUUGUGUUAGAUUAAAAGUUUAUGGGAGACAGAGGUAAUGCCUAAGGUUUGUUUUCUAUUACUCUAUCUCAGCACAAUGUUGAGCUCCAAAUAGUUGCUAAGUGAAAAAAGGUAGUUUUAAAUUCAGAAAGAAAUACUUGAAUAGAAAAGUACAGAGCAUAUCUGAAAAAUUAGCUAAGGUUUGGGCUGGCAGGGAAUCCUAGCUCAUUGCUUUGUUUUGUUUUGGUUGCAGGAAAGGAAUGAGUACUGGAUCAAGUGGCAGGAUUGAUGAUUUUGUUUUUGAACAGGACAGCAUCAAAUCAAGCAGAGCAAGUAUGUAUGUGUUUCUUCCGUUUUUUUCUGCCUCUUUCUUGUGGUUUGGAGAAAUGGAUUUUUCAUAAAACACUCUUGUAUGUGUUUCAGUUAAGAUGACCACAGAUAAAACAGAAUCUACGUCAUGGAGCUUCGAGGCUUUGGGUGGAGAUGUGUCUAAAGGAGUCUUGUAAGCAUUCUUAUUUGUGAUGCUUUCACAAGUGCCUCAACUUUUCUGACUUAUUUUUCUCAUUUAUUUCAUAGAUCUACAUAUUUUACUUAUGAUAAAGCCACGUGUGUGUGUGUGUGUGUGUAUGUGUGUGUGUGAUAGAGCUAACAAAUCUUUUUGUAGACUCUUUUUAACUAUUCUAUCCCAAUUGCAUUAGAAUAAAUUUCACCAGGAACGCAAUUUAUAUAAGACUAGUAUUAUAUAAAUUAACAUUUUAACAUUUUAUCACUAAUAAAGCCCUUCUCCUUCAUUAACUUCAUGUGUUUUCCAUGGAAAACAAGUUCCAUUUGAGGUAGAGUUAUGACAUUGACAUUACGCUCUUUGGGGGAUUGUUUUUAAAGCACCUCUUUAAUAGAUACUUCUAGAUAUGAAUGAGAAAAGCUGUUUUCUGCUAAAUGUGUGUGUUUUAGAUAUCAAGGAGAGGCAAUUCUGUUUCUCCCUUAUUUUAUCCUUAACACUUUACGUUUGCCCAUGCUAAAAGGUAUAGUAGGAAACACGUACCCAAGCUGUGCUAAGCACUGGCAUCAGAUGGCAAAGAGGAAGAGAAGGCCUGGGACUCCAUGAAACAUGUGGCCUAGACUCUCAAAGGGUCCAUUAUCUAAUGCUGAGGCAAGGGUGACACAAACACGAACAAGCUGUAGGAAAUUUUAGGAAAGGUGAAUACUAAGUUGUGAGCUACAGGCUAGUUUCCUAGUUAAAGGCCUGUUAAAACUUGUCAGGAUCCCUUGACUGAAAGAGUAACAAUGUGUUGAUUUAUUUCAGAAUCUCUCCUAACCAAGCCAGAAAUAGGAAACUUUAUUGUAGGCAGAGAUAAAUGUUAGGCGUGAAGUAGAAAAAGAAUAAACAAAAGCUGUGACAUCCAACUUCACAACUGGCAGAUGCUGAAUAUUUGACAAUUCUGGAAAAAUCUUUGCUGCUGUAACAAAUGCUUGAAUACGUAUUUAUUCUAUAAAUGGACUGCACUUAUUUAUAAGGAUGGAAAAGGGGAAAAUAGAAAAUCGCACAGUGAUACAUACUGUAUUUGGAUUGGAAGGGAUUGGAGAUGUUGAAGAUUAUUCUCAUUCAUUCUUUCCCCUGCAGAGAGGUGUCUCAUUUGAUUACCUAUGCAGCAGACCUACAUUUUAACAGGCAGAAAUUGGAGGAAGAAAAUAAUAAGUUAAAACUGGCAUUAGAAACCUUGGAAGAAGCUAACUGCCAGUUAUCAGAAGAGUGUACUGAAUUGCGCCUUCAGAUAAAAAGGUGAACCAUAGAGAGGGGUACGGUGCUCUGGGAGCUUUCCAUCCUUUUUUUCCUUUUUUUAAAAAAAUCUAUUUUUAAAAUUGGGUUAUAAUUCACACAGCAUAAAAUGUACCCUUUUAAGGUGUACAAUUCAGUGGUUUUAAAAGAAAUUAUUUUUGGGGCACCUGGGUGGCUCGGUCAGUUAAGCGUCCGACUUCGGCUCAGGUCAUGAUCUCACAGUCCAUGAGUUCGAGCCCCAUGUCGGGCUCUGUGCUGACAGCUCAGAGCCUGGAGCCUGUUUCAGAUUCUGUGUCUCCCUCUCUCUCUGCCCCUCCCCUGUUCAUGCUCUGUCUCUCUCUGUCUCAAAAAUAAAUAAACAUUAAAAAAAAUUUUUUUUAAUAAAAAAUAAAAAAAAUAAAUAAAAAAGAAAUUAUUUUUGAUGUUUAUUUAUUUUUGAGAGAGACAGACCAUGAGCAGGUGAGGGGCAGAGAGAGGGAGACACAGAAUCUGAAGCAGGCUCCAGGCUCUGAGCUGUCAGCACAGAGCCCAACGUGGGGCUCAAACCCAGGAACAGUGAGAUCAUGACCUAAGCCAAAGUUGGAUGCUUAACCUACUGAGCCACCCAGGUGCCCCAAAGAAAGCUCAUACCUUUUAGCAGUCACUCCCCAUUUCCCUUUCCCUCAAUCCCUGGCAACCACUAAUCUACUUUCUGUCUCUAUGGAUUUACCUGUUCUGGAUAUUUUGCAUAAAUGGAAUCAUACCAUAUGUGACCUUUGUGUCUGGUUUCUUUCACUUAGCAUAAUGUUGUCACAGUUCCAUGUUGUAGCAUGGAGCUUCAUUCCUUUUUAUGGCUGAAUAUUCCAUUGUAUGGGUGUAUACAUUUUGUUCAUCCAUUCAUCAGAUAAUGGACAUUUAGAGUGUUUCCACUUUUUGGCUAUUACAAAUGCUGCUGCUAUGAACUUGUCUAUAUAAGUUUUUGUGUGGAUAUAUGCUUUUAGUUCUCUUGGGUAUAUCCCUAGAAGUGAAAUUGCUGUGUAGUGACUUGUACUUAACAUUUUGAAGAACUGCCAAACUGAUUUCCAGAGCAGCUGUACUAUUUUAGAUUUUUGCCAGCAAUGUUUGUCAGUUCAUUUCUAGCAAUGAUAUUUUUUAUGUCAUUUAAGGCAGUGUUGUCUAUAUAAGGCCAAUAUGCCUAUUGACCAAGUGUGGAUCUCUCCAAAGUAUUUUGUGGUUCAGUUGAACUCUUACUCUAUGCAAAUUCCCAUGGUAAGUAUAGUAGAUCCUUCAGUGACACAGAUUUGAUCUGCAUGGGUCCACUUACACAUGGAUUUUCUUCAGUAAAUAGGGUACAGUACUAUCAAUGUAUUUUUCUUCCUUAUGAUUUUAUUAAGGAUUUAUUUUCUCUAGCUUACUUUAUUUGGAGAACAUGGUAUCUAAUAUAUAUCACAUAGAAAAUAUGUGUUAAUUGACUAUGUUAUUGGCAAGGCUUCUGGUCAACAGUAGGCUAUUGGCUGUUAAGUUUUGGGGGAGUCAGAAAUUGUACACAGAUUUUUAAUGAAGGUCGACACACCUAACCCCCAUGUUGUUCAAGGGUCAGCUCUAUUAUGAGAGAUUCAUUAGUGAGUCAGAUUUAAAAUGUGCUUUCAGGGUAUCUGAUAAAGUUGAUGGAUGAUAAGAAAAUUCAUGACUUUAGCUUAAGAUAAAAAGGAAUAAAGAACCUAGAAGACAUACCACAUGGUAUCAAGCACUGGGGAAAUGCGUUGCAAGGAGAUGCUUGAACUUCAGGAAGAAAAGCAACAAUUUUCUCAAAAGUUCUGCAUUUACAGAUGUUUAGGUGCUAAAAUUUUGAACAGAAGAGUUCUAAAUUAACUUGAAAAGACAGUAGAAUAUCCUGACCAUGGAUUCUUUCCCUCAUAAUUUUUGACUAGCCAGUCUAGCCUCAAAGCCAAUCUAUAAAGUAAAUAAAAAGAAAUGAUUACUUUAAGCUUUCUCCAUUCCACAAUGGGUUUAUUUAUUACAUAUCUGAGAUAAAAUAAUUCAAAGUUUCUCUUAAAAAUCUAUGCCUUGGAUGAAUGUGCCAGGGAGAAUAUUUGGUUGUAAGCACUAGAAGCUGACUGUAGUUAGCAUAAGCAGUGAAGAAAUGUACUAGAAAGGAAUUGAAUAACUCACAGAAUGGACAGAAAGCCUAGAGAAUCUGGAUGGGCAGCCAGAAUGCUUAGUGUCCACAAAAUUAAGCCCUUUGUAUCCUCUUCCUUCCCCUGAUCCUUCAGAAAGGGCUCUGCUUCCUUUCAUUGCGUGGUUAUCCCAUCAUUUGCCUCCUAUAUUAACUGUGUGUGGGUGGGAGGAACCCCGUGUUACUCAUCCUGGUCACCCUAGUGCUCAGUAGAAUGUCUGCCAUAGAACAACUCUGUCAUUUGUCCACAGGUCUGCCAGCCAGAAACCUUUUUCUCCUGUCUUUCUCUGCCUUCACUUCUUUUUUUUUUUUUAUUUUUUUUUNNNNNNNNNNNNNNNNNNNNNNNNNNNNNNNNNNNNNNNNNNNNNNNNNNNNNNNNNNNNNNNNNNNNNNNNNNNNNNNNNNNNNNNNNNNNNNNNNNNNNNNNNNNNNNNNNNNNNNNNNNNNNNNNNNNNNNNGGACCGCGAGAUCGUGACCUGGCUGAAGUCGGACGCUUAACCGACUGCGCCACCCAGGCGCCCCCUCUCUGCCUUCACUUCUAAAUCAAAUAGCAAGUCCUGUUAAUUUUACCUCCUUUAUAUUCCUCAAGUAGGUUUACGUCUUUCUUUUCCUAUAUCUACUACUUAGUUCAACUCAACAUCAUCUUUUACCUGGAUCACUACAGCAACCUCCUGAUUGGUCUCCCUACAUUUCUAAAACUAGUGCCACACAGGCAGGAAUGCUCUUUCUAAAUGCCAGUCUGCCACAUCAUGCCCUUGCUUUAAAUACUUCCAUGGAUCCCUGUCACCUUUAAGAUGUAAUCCGGGGGCGCCUGGGUGGCGCAGUCGGUUGAGCGUCCGACUUCAGCCAGGUCACGAUCUCGCGGUCCGUGAGUUCGAGCCCCGCGUCGGGCUCUGGGCUGAUGGCUCAGAGCCUGGAGCCUGUUUCCGAUGCUGUGUCUCCCUCUCUCUCUGCCCCUCCCCCGUUCAUGCUCUGUCUCUCUCUGUCCCAAAAAUAAAUAAACGUUGAAAAAAAAAAUUAAAAAAAAAAAAAUAAGAUGUAAUCCAAUUGGCAGAACCCUUCUUGAGGGGGCCUCUGUUGCCUUAUCUCUAUUCCCACUUUCUACUCUAGGCUCUAACGACAUCUAAUUGCUUGAAGUCCCUCAAUGGGCUUCUGUUUGUUCUCUCCCUCUCCCCGCCCCCCCAAUCCCCAUUAUUUGAGCUGUCUGCCAUUUACACAGUGUCUACAGAACUUGGAUUCACUCCAAUCUUGGUUCAUAUCACACUGUGUUAUAAUGACGAUUUCUGUUUACACUUCUAGUCUAUAAACUCCAGGAGGGUAGAGUUCUCAUAUUUGGAUUCACUUUGGGUUCUUUAGUGCUUAGCAUAAUGCCUGGCACAGAGUUGCAGCUCCAUGAACAUUUGUUGAAUGAUCAACGUAAUUCCUUAGUAAGGAAGAAAAAUGUACCUCCUAUGAGACCCUGCUCAGAAAACAGUUUAUAAUCCAGUGGGAGUACAAAUAGGCAAUUCCAUGCUAUGGAUUACCAUAAUUCAUUUAAUAGAUCUCUUUUUGUUGGAAAUUUAGGUUGUUUCCAAUGCUUUGGUAUUGUAAACAAUGCUAUAAUAAACUUCUAAAGGAAAAUGGAUAGACACUAUAUAGACAACUAUAGUUGUCCUCUCCUUCAUUAGUUUGUAACUGCUACAAGGGCAAGGACUAUGUCCCUUGUUCACCAUCAUAGGCCUUCUUGCAGGGUAGAGCACCUGGAACAUGGUAUUAUUCAAUAAAUAUGUAUAGAAUUACAUUAAAUAAUAUUACAUCUUAGUAGAAGGAAAGAACCAUGUGAUUCAGCCAGUGAUGAAUUUCAAAGGGAGACUCCAAAUCUUUAUCUUCAAGAAUGUUUGUUUCCUUCUAUCUCUCUUCCCCCACCAAAGCUCCCCACAAGAUCUCUUUCUUUUCAAAGGGCUGUGAAAGAUCAUGGGUAUAUUUUUACUAUUGUUGGUAUCUGGUUUAAGCCUUUAGUGGUUUUCAUCUUGGGUCCAAAAAUAGUCCUUGGCUUUACUUUGUAUCUUUGACAGUUAUAUUUGAGGUUUUGCUCAUUGCCUUCCUCCCCACCCCCACCCCCACAGUGCCCACCAGGCUAAUAUGAGAACGAAUCUGUUAAAAGAAGAACUGGAGGAACUGAAAAUUAGUAUGAAUGCUUCAGAAGAGCAGAAGACCAUGAUUGUAGCUC